CUAGCGACUUCAGAGUUUGAUCCUGGCUCAGGACGAACGCUGGCGGCGUGCUUAACACAUGCAAGUCGAACGGAGUUACGUUUUCGGAUGUAACUUAGUGGCGAACGGGUGAGUAACGCGUGAGGAACCUGCCUCUCAGUGGGGGACAACAGUUGGAAACGACUGCUAAUACCGCAUGACACUGUAGUACCGCAUGGUACAUCAGUCAAAGAUUUAUUGCUGAGAGAUGGCCUCGCGUCUGAUUAGCUAGUGGUAGGGUAACGGCCUACCAAGGCGACGAUCAGUAGCCGGACUGAGAGGUUGACCGGCCACAUUGGGACUGAGAUACGGCCCAG
rnacentral:rRNA from 1 species